UACAGAGGUGGCAAGCGUUGUUCGGAAUUACUGGGCGUAAAGGGCGCGUAGGCGGCUCGACAAGUCCCGCGUGAAAGCCCCCGGCUCAACUGGGGAACUGCGCGGGAAACUGUCGGACUUUGAGUUCGGGAGAGGGAAGCGGAAUUCCGGGUGUAGCGGUGAAAUGCGUAGAUAUCCGGAGGAACACCGGUGGCGAAGGCGGCUUCCUGGACCGACACUGACGCUGAGGCGCGAAAGCUAGGGGAGCAAACGGG
rnacentral:rRNA from 1 species